CUUUAUUUGGUUUGAAUUUAAUGAAAUUUUAUAUUUUUGUUACAAUUCAGUUGUAUUACAUGUAUUAUAUUUUAUUCCACCAAAGUUUAUUUUGAAUGUUUUUUAGCCUUCAUAUUUUAAGAUGGGAUGCCAAGAUAAUGUAGAAAAAGAGAAAAGAUCAUAUAGAGAUAUAUUUAAAUAUUUAGUUUGCCAGUCUGAUUCUCUGAGGUCAUAACCUCUGAACUCUUGAAAUAUGUGGAUUCUUCACAUUGAUCAAGGUCAUUAGAAACUUUUUAAAUUCUUGUUUUCAAACAAUAUUUGGUUUUAAUUAAUUAAUUUUUUUUUAAUUUGAAGACCACCUUCAUAUUUCUUCUUAUUCCACUUUUGUCAUCAGACUUAGGUCAUAACUGUUCUUGCAAACAUUCCUCAAAACAAAAUGUGAUCAAGUAACCCCAGGUCUUAAAUCAAAGGUCAAGGUCAUUUAAUAUUUUCUUUCUUAUGUGUCCUUGAUCUGUGUAACAUUGACCUUUCUUGAUAACAGUUAAAAUAUUCUAAGAAUCACUCUUUGUUAGAACUUUUUUAAGUGACGUUUUCAAAAAUGUCAAGGUCAAGCUUGUGCUGACUAUGAAUGCUUCAUUUAUUUCAUAAAAAGACUGCAUCAAUCUUCACAACUUUAAUGUUCAUACAUGAUGAAACUAUUGUAAAGUAUUCAAUUUUUUUGGUAAAAUUUUCUACUAGUUCGGUAGAUAAUUUACAUUUAGUAAAUCUUGCAUUUAUAGUCAUAUUCCAUUUUUAUGAUAAACAUGUGUUUUAUAUGCCUAGGUUGUAAUACAUUUGAGUGUAAUGUGUCAUGAUACAUGUGUCACACAAUUCAUCUCCGACUGUGUCCGGAUGCACAAGUUGUGAGCUGUGUUAAUUACUGUAUGUAUGUCUGACAUUGCUGAUUGUGAUCUCAGUUGUUUAACAUCUAUACCAUAAAGAUGUGAA
rnacentral:sRNA from 1 species